GUCAGGUUCGAUUGGAGGCGUUGGCGCCAUU
rnacentral:sRNA from 1 species